CCUCCUCUUCAUCGAUUAUGGGUGAGGAAGGAGAGGGGAUUUUGUCAUCAUCCAUUGGCAAUGAAGGAGAGGGGAUGGUCCGUGUGCCCUCGCAAGCCCUCUCAUCAUCCAUCACGGGUGAGGAAGGGGAGGGGGCGACCCGUGCUCCCUCGCCAUUGGCAAUAGGGAAGGAAGGAGGGAGGGGUACCUUGUGCCUUCAUUGUCGCCUAUAGACCCCACUUGCAUCGUUGAUCGCAAGCGAGGAAAGAGAGGGGGCGACCCAUGCAACCUCUUCAUUGUCGCCUAUAGACCCCACUUGCAUCAUUGAUCGCAAGCGAGAAAAGAGAAGGGGCGACCCAUGCAACCUCACUGUCGCUUGGGGGGGAGCACCUUUGUUGUUGCCUAUAGGCUCCCCUUGUCGACUGCAAGUAGUGAGGAAGGAGAGGGCAUGACUCAUGGGUUCCACGGAGGAAGGGGCGGUAUGGGGAGGCAAGGGCAACAAAGAAUCGAUGGAAUUAGAGGUCAAAUGAUCUUUUCAGACGACUAAUAGGCACUCUAUGAGAAUUUUUGAAAGUUAGAAAUUUUUUUUAAAGAUAGAAACUUUUUUUUUAAUUCACCCAUAAUUUAUUGUGAAGAGAUAUGUUUAUAAUUUUACAUUAAAAAGAUAGAUUUCUAAUCAUCCUUUUUACUAUUUACAAUCAUACUUUAAGAAUUUUAAAUAUUUCUAAAAUACCUCUCUAUAAAUAGACAUAAAUGUCAUAUUCUUCUGCCUUCUCCUCUUUCUCAAUCCAACUAAUAGUGAUACUAGCGAGCACGAGUGAUGGUCACAGGAUGAGGAUGGCCUUUGUGAGGGUCGCUCACAUAGGAGAAGAGUAGGCGGCUAACAUAACAAAAAUUCACAAUGUUCACAUAUGAGAAGACAAAAGAAUUAUAAACGCAAACAAUAAAGUGGACGUCAACGAUGUCAAACAACGAGCAAACGUGUUAGGUGGUCAUUGAAAGGGGUGACAAACGACAUCACCUUCGAUUACACCUACGACGAGCAUUAAGGGAGCAUUUAUGACAUCAACGACGAGAGGAGAGGUAUCCAAGGGGGUGGCUAGCGGCGUCAACAUCAAGUAAUAUUGGCGACAAGUGAUGUGGGCAAUGAGUUGAUGAAAUAAUAAAUUCUGAAGAAGAAAAAAAAUUAAAAAAAUUAAAAGAUAGAUAAUUGUGGGGUUGAAAAUAAUAAAAUGUCAUGUUUUAAAUGGUUCUAAUGGAUUAUCAACAGCCAAGGAUUUACUAAUACGACCGUGAAUAGCUUCUUAACAAGACUUGGCGUCGUUCGUCGUUCGUCGUUCGUCGUUCGUCGUCGUUGCGUCGAUUAAUAGUUCGACGAAGGUGGUGGCGGUCUCGCUUCUCUGAAGUGGCAUCGAACUCUCGAUCACCCUUCGCCCUCAUCCCCGUGUCUCUCGUGAAGCCCCCCGUCUCCGGAGUCCCACGUAGAACACGCCCCAGCGGAGCUCCAAGCCCCGGCCGGCUUCGAACCGUCUCCCUUCCACGCGGCCGCUGGAUUUCUUGUAGACCUCGGCCCGGAGGUGAGCCGUGACGCUCCGCUCCGCUCUCCCAGGUGGACUCUCGCACCCCGGCUUCGGGAGAUGGGAGUGGCCUCUCCCUAAACUCGCCGGCCGGCCGCGCGAUGGCUCGAGCCGGCGGCGGCCACGGAGCUUCAGAAGGUGUAUCGGAGCUACCGCACCGGCCGUUGUCGCCGAAGAACUCUGAAGGCGGAAAGGGAUAGACACUGCUCGACUCAAUCGCAGCACGGUGUGGUUCUUCGAUCACAAGAAGCUUAAGACGCCGAUGUCGCGUUAGAUUGAGUGCUUCUAAGGCUCGUUAACUCCUCUUUGAUUUCUUUUAUCUUUGUCUUUGGUUUGUAAAUUCUGAUAAUGACCAAAACAAAAGGUUAAAAAAAUAAAAAAGAAUUUUUUGA